rnacentral:rRNA from 1 species
GAUGAACGCUGGCGGCGUGCCUAAUACAUGCAAGUCGAGCGAACGGACGAGAAGCUUGCUUCUCUGAUGUUGGCGGCGGACGGGUGAGUAACACGUGGAUAACCUACCUAUAAGACUGGGAUAACUUCGGGAAACCGUAGCUAAUACCGGAUAAUAUUUUGAACCGCAUGGUUCGAAAGUGAAAGACGGUCUUGCUGUCACUUAUAGAUGGAUCCGCGCUGCAUUAGCUAGUUGGUAAGGUAACGGCUUACCAAGGCAACGAUGCAUAGCCGACCUGAGAGGGUGAUCGGCCACACUGGAACUGAGACACGGUCCAGACUCCUACGGGAGGCAGCAGUAGGGAAUCUUCCGCAAUGGGCGAAAGCCUGACGGAGCAACGCCGCGUGAGUGAUGAAGGUCUUCGGAUCGUAAAACUCUGUUAUUAGGGAAGAACAUAUGUGUAAGUAACUGUGCACAUCUUGACGGUACCUAAUCAGAAAGCCACGGCUAACUACGUG